rnacentral:snRNA from 1 species
AUACCUUUCUCGGCCUUUUGGCUAAGAUCAAGUGUAGUAUCUGUUCUUAUCUAUCAUUACGUGUGUAACGUACAACUAUUGAUAGAAACAUGAUUGAUAUAUUAUACUUUCC